rnacentral:rRNA from 1 species
UGUAAGCGUAUACCAAAGUUGUUGCAGUUAAAACGCUCGUAGUCGGAAUUUGGCAGUUCCGGAUGUGUGCACGUCGUGUGCGCACUUCGCGGGGAUUGCUUUUGUGGUCUUGCGUAGGAUGAGGCACUUUUAUUAGUGAACGUCCUCACGCAACCACUUUUUACUGUGAGAAAAUCAGAGAGCUCAAAGCAGGCAUUUGCCGUGAAUGUAUUAGCAUGGAAUAAUAGAAUAGGACUUGGUUCUAUUUUGUUGGUUUGUUGGGACUGAGUAAUGAUUAAGAGGGACAGUUGGGGGCAUUUGUAUUUCGGUGCUAGAGGUGAAAUUCUUAGAUUACCGAAAGACAAACUGCUGCGAAAGCGUCUGCCAAGGAUGUUUUCAUUGA